rnacentral:lncRNA from 10 species
CACCAACGUACCACCAACGUACCACCACCACCACCACCACCACCACCACAGCCCCUAGCCACUUCUUAUCAGCACAGGAUUCGACUCCAAACGACCUGAGCCGAGCCCCGGCAGCUCACCAACCGGUCCUUCUCCAGCAAGAAGACGCUGGCCGUCUUGUCGAAGGACCCCGAGGCUAGGCGACGCCCGUCGCAACUCCAGGCCACCGAGUGCACCUUGGCGC